AUAAGGUAUCUUACCUUGAAUACAUAGGGGUAAGAAGC
rnacentral:rRNA from 1 species